CGACCUCAAAUCAGGCAGGACUACCCGCUGAACUUAAGCAUAUC
rnacentral:rRNA from 4 species